AGAGUAAAGCAAAUACAAAGUUCACUUGAAAAUUGUAAUGGAUGUUUAGUUAAUUGACUUCCUCCAAAAAAAUAACAAAACACCUUGUGUACCUCUAUCCUACGUCCCCUGGGAAGAUCUGAGACUAGGGCCAUAAAGCAGCUCCUAGCAGGGUCCUCCCUGAGUCUCAAAGAGGUGCGUUCCCAGAGAAUGGGGUUCCGUGCAAGGGAAGACUAGGCAGGAGAUGCCAUUGACCCCACCCUUGGGGAGGCGACUGGCGGAUGCCUCCUAAGGCAGAGCUUGGAACAUACUCAGAGCCAAAGUGAGUUCAAUGGCUGAGGUAAGGUACCCCGCCUGAGGGCCUCAUAACGCAAUUCAGACUACUCUCCCCCUCC
rnacentral:RNase_P_RNA from 1 species